rnacentral:misc_RNA from 1 species
GAAAAACCUCAAAAGGGGAGGAGAGUUUGUAAAAUUUGAAGCCCUCUUCCCUCCCCCUUUGACUUAAUAAUCCCAUGUUAUAUAUGAUUAUGAAUAUGUAGCUUAAACAUUCCUAGUAGAACAACACAAUUUCAGAUUUUGGAUCUAGAUCGACAGCUCAAUUUUGGAUUUUUUCAAUUGGGAUUUGGGCUUUGAAAUUGUAUAAAAAUGGGGGUAAUGUCAAGGAAAGUAGUUCCUGCAUGUGGUAGUUUGUGCUUCUUUUGUCCAUCAUUGCGAGCAAGGUCAAGACAGCCUGUUAAACGUUACAAGAAGCUCCUUGGAGAGAUUUUCCCCAAAUCACAGGAUGCUGAGCCAAAUGAUAGAAAGAUUGCAAAACUUUGUGAGUAUGCUUCAAGAAACCCAUUGCGUAUACCAAAGAUUACUGAAUACCUGGAGCAAAGGUGUUACAAAGAUUUGCGAAAUGAGCACCUUGGGUCAGUAAAGGUUGUUACCAUGAUCUACAGGAAGCUGCUAUCUUCAUGUAAGGAGCAGAUGCCACUAUAUGCUGCUAGUCUAUUGGGGAUUAUCCGCACUCUUUUUGAACAAACACAGCAUGAUGAAAUGCAGAUUUUAGGUUGCAAUACUCUAGUCGAUUUCAUCAAUAGCCAGAUGGAUGGUACUUACAUGUUCAACUUAGAAGGCCUCAUACCUAAACUGUGCCAACUAGCUCGAGAAGUUGGAGAUGAUGAUAGAGCCUUGCGCUUGCGUUCUGCAGGAAUGCAAACUUUGGCUGUCUUGGUGUGGUUUAUGGGGGAGCAGUCUCACAUCUCCAUUGACUUUGAUCAUAUUAUUACUGCAACUUUGGAGAAUUACAUUGACUUCACAGUGAACCUAGAAAAUGGACAAGACAGUAAACAGUCUCAACCUUCAGAACAGUGGGUUCAAGGAGUAUUGAAUAGUGAUGAUCACAGCUCAUCUUUCCCUGAUAUGAGCAAGAAGGUUUCCACCUCGCCAAAUAUCAUGAAUGCAAAUACAACAUCCUCAAUAGAGACAGCCAAA